CCGAUAACGAACGAGACCUUGACCUGCUAACUAGCCCGUAUUGCUUUGGCAGUACGCUGGCUUCUUAGAGGGACUUUCGGCUUAAGCCGAAGGAAGUGCGAGGCAAUAACAGGUCUGUGAUGCCCUUCGAUGUUCUGGGCCGCACGCGCGCUACACUGACGGAGCCAGCGAGUACUCCCUUGGCCGAAAGGCCUGGGUAAUCUUGUUAAACUCCGUCGUGCUGGGGAUAGAGCAUUGCAAUUAUUGCUCUUCAACGAGGAAUCCCUAGUAAGCGCAAGUCAUCAGCUUGCGUUGAUUACGUCCCUGCCUUUUGUACACACCGCCCGUCGCUAAUACCGAUUGAAUGGAUA
rnacentral:rRNA from 1 species